GAUGAAGAACGCAGCGAAAUGCGAUAAGUAAUGUGAAUUGCAGAAUUCAGUGAAUCAUCGAAUCUUUGAACGCACAUUGCGCCCGCCAGUAUUCUGGCGGGCAUGCCUGUCCGAGCGUCAUUUCAACCCUCGAACCCCUCCGGGGGGUCGGCGUUGGGGAUCGGGAACCCCUAAGACGGGAUCCCGGCCCCGAAAUACAGUGGCGGUCUCGCCGCAGCCUCUCCUGCGCAGUAGUUUGCACAACUCGCACCGGGAGCGCGGCGCGUCCACGUCCGUAAAACACCCAACUUCUGAAAUGUUGACCUCGGAUCAGGUAGGAAUACCCGCUGAACUUAAGCAUAUCAAUAAGCGGAGGA
rnacentral:misc_RNA from 1 species